UUAUCUAGCACCUUUGGGGCACCCCCCAGCUGAAUACGAGCCGGCGAAGAAGCCCAGCCCAAGCCUUGUCAUAGAAAGAGCGAGAGAGCUGGAAGCGUUUAUGAUCGAUGACAAUCUCGAGCCUCUCAGCGACAAGAGAAUCUCCUAACCAUUUGCAAUCUCGAGCCAAAGCCUGGGCCAAUAAGUGCAGGGUCCCAAAUCCCAUCACUUCAGGUAGGGAGCCCAACUUCGACUUCUCCAUUGCUCUGCUACUUGUUACUAUUGGAAAGGUUGAGCCCCC
rnacentral:lncRNA from 1 species